AUUGAACGCUGGCGGCAUGCCUUACACAUGCAAGUCGAACGGCAGCGCGGGAGCAAUCCUGGCGGCGAGUGGCGAACGGGUGAGUAAUAUAUCGGAACGUGCCCAGUAGUGGGGGAUAGCCCGGCGAAAGCCGGAUUAAUACCGCAUGAGACCUGAGGGUGAAAGCGGGGGAUCGCAAGACCUCGCGCUACUGGAGCGGCCGAUAUCAGAUUAGCUAGUUGGUGGGGUAAAGGCCUACCAAGGCAACGAUCUGUAGUUGGUCUGAGAGGACGACCAGCCACACUGGGACUGAGACACGGCCCAGACUCCUACGGGAGGCAGCAGUGGGGAAUUUUGGGACAAUGGGCGCAAGCCUGAUCCAGCCAUGCCGCGUGAGUGAAGAAGGCCUC
rnacentral:rRNA from 1 species